GAUGAACGCUGGCGGCGUGCUUAACACAUGCAAGUCGAACGGAAAGGCCCAAGCUUGCUUGGGUACUCGAGUGGCGAACGGGUGAGUAACACGUGGGUGAUCUGCCCUGCACUUCGGGAUAAGCCUGGGAAACUGGGUCUAAUACCGGAUAGGACCACUUCUUGGAUGUUGUGGUGGAAAGUUUUCUCGGUGUGGGAUGAGCUCGCGGCCUAUCAGCUUGUUGGUGGGGUAUUGGCCUACCAAGGCGUCGACGGGUAGCCGGCCUGAGAGGGUGUACGGCCACAUUGGGACUGUGAGACGGCCCAGACUCCUACGGGGGGCAGCAGUGGGGAAUAUUGCACAAUGGGCGCAAGCCUGAUGCAGCGACGCCGCGUGGGGGAUGACGGCCUUCGGGUUGUAAACUCCUUUCGCUAGGGACGAAGCGUUUUUGUGACGGUACCUGGAGAAGAAGCACCGGCUAACUACGUG
rnacentral:rRNA from 1 species